AACGUAGGACGCAAGCGUUAUCCGGAAUUACUGGGCGUAAAGCGCGUGUAGGCGGUCUGAUAAGUCAUUGUUGAAAGCGCCUGGCUAAACUGGGCGAGGAAUGGUGAUACUGUUGGGCUAGAGUGAUGAAGAGGGAUAUAGAAUUCCGGGUGUAGUGGUGAAAUGCGUAGAGAUCCGGAGGAAUCCCAGAGGCGAAGGCGAUAUCCUGGUCAUCAACUGACGCUGAGACGCGAAAGCAUGGGGAGCGAACGGG
rnacentral:rRNA from 1 species